rnacentral:tRNA from 1 species
AAGGCUUUAGCUUAAUUAAAGUAUUUGUGUUGCAUACAAAGGAUGUGAGAUAGAGUCUUGCAGGUCUUA